CGAAAACGAAUUCUCUCUUGAGUGGAUCCUGAGUACGACGGAGCACGUGAAAUUCCGUCGGAAUCUGGGAGGACCAUCUCCUAAGGCUAAAUACUCUCUAGUGACCGAUAGUGAACCAGUACCGUGAGGGAAAGGUGAAAAGUACCCCGGAAGGGGAGUGAAAGAGAACUUGAAACCGUGUGCUUACAAGUAGUCAGAGCCCGUUAAUGGGUGAUGGCGUGCCUUUUGUAGAAUGAACCGGCGAGUUACGAUCUGAUGCAAGGUUAAGCAGAAAAUGUGGAGCCGUAGCGAAAGCGAGUCUGAAUAGGGCGAAUGAGU
rnacentral:rRNA from 1 species